AUGGUUGGUGCUCUCACUGGAUUAGCAGUUAGUUGAGAGUGUUGUCUCUAAUUGCAUGAUUUUUUAUACUCUAUAGGUUAGGACUUCCUAUUACAAACCUUGCAUGAUAGUGUGAUGCAUUUGCAACAUGCUAGAGGGCUAGACGGCCUGCUUCCUAUUACAUCUUGGUCGGACAUUUGAUUUGGUGGAGCGAGAAAGAGGCAAGCUAAAAGCCAUUGGUAUGUUGUGCAACAUGUUCAGAAGGAAAGGAGCUGACGUGAAUGGACCAACUUCAUGUGGGUGAGAUCCACACUCUACAUAAGGUGCAACACACUGUGCUUGGACCAUUACUCAAAAAUCAGAAAACCCCAAAGCCUUCCAUAUAUGCAGAAGAUCAGUCCUUGUUUCUUCCAUAUAAUUCCUAGGAUGGAUAUAUUUCUCUCUUGUUCAACUUCUGCAAGAAACAAUGGUGGGCGGCAUCAGUUCUGGUGGUCAGAUGACUGCUGCUCCCGAUGGUGGAGUUCCAGAAGGGAGCUUUGAUUUUUACAGAGGCACCAAUGUUGAGAUAAAAUUGAUCAUCUAUCUGGAAUCUAUAGGUGCAAAUGAUCUCCUACAAUCAGUUGUAGUUUAGCUUAAUGUACAAUCUAUCUCUCGUGCCAUUGUGAUGUUUGAUGAAGGCGCUGAAUAUUUAUGAUUUCAUCAGCUAUUUUUUUAUUUACUGCCAU